UACCAUGCAAGUCGAACGGUAACAUGAGUGCUUGCACUUGAUGACGAGUGGCGGACGGGUGAGUAAAGUAUGGGGAUCUGCCGAAUGGUAGGGGACAACAGUUGGAAACGACUGCUAAUACCGUAUAAAGUUGAGAGACCAAAGCAUGGGACCUACGGGCCAUGCGCCAUUUGAUGAACCCAUAUGGGAUUAGCUAGUAGGUGGGGUAAUGGCUCACCUAGGCGACGAUCUCUAGCUGGUCUGAGAGGAUGACCAGCCACACUGGAACUGAGACACGGUCCAGACUCCUACGGGAGGCAGCAGUGGGGAAUAUUGCACAAUGGGGGGAACCCUGAUGCAGCCAUGCCGCGUGUAUGAAGAAGGCCUUCGGGUUGUAAAGUACUUUCGGUGAUGAGGAAGGCGGUGUAUCUAAUAGGUGCAUCGAUUGACGUUAAUCACAGAAGAAGCACCGGCUAACUCCGUGCCAGCAGCCGCGGUAAUACGGAGGGUGCGAGCGUUAAUCGGAAUGACUGGGCGUAAAGGGCAUGUAGGCGGAUAAUUAAGUUAGGUGUGAAAGCCCUGGGCUUAACCUAGGAAUUGCACUUAAAACUGGUUAACUAGAGUAUUGUAGAGGAAGGUAGAAUUCCACGUGUAGCGGUGAAAUGCGUAGAGAUGUGGAGGAAUACCGGUGGCGAAGGCGGCCUUCUGGACAGAUACUGACGCUGAGAUGCGAAAGCGUGGGGAGCAAACAGGAUUAGAUACCCUGGUAGUCCACGCUGUAAACGAUGUCGAUUUGGAGUUUGUUACCCUGAGUGAUGGGCUCCGAAGCUAACGCGAUAAAUCGACCGCCUGGGGAGUACGGCCGCAAGGUUAAAACUCAAAUGAAUUGACGGGGGCCCGCACAAGCGGUGGAGCAUGUGGUUUAAUUCGAUGCAACGCGAAGAACCUUACCUGGUCUUGACAUCCACAGAAUCUUGUAGAGAUAUGAGAGUGCCUUCGGGAACUGUGAG
rnacentral:rRNA from 1 species